rnacentral:rRNA from 1 species
UUGCAGGGUAUAGACCCGAAACCCGGUGAUCUAGCCAUGGGCAGGUUGAAGGUUGGGUAACACUAACUGGAGGACCGAACCGACUAAUGUUGAAAAAUUAGCGGAUGACUUGUGGCUGGGGGUGAAAGGCCAAUCAAACCGGGAGAUAGCUGGUUCUCCCCGAAAGCUAUUUAGGUAGCGCCUCGUGAAUUCAUCUCCGGGGGUAGAGCACUGUUUCGGCAAGGGGGUCAUCCCGACUUACCAACCCGAUGCAAACUGCGAAUACCGGAGAAUGUUAUCACGGGAGACACACGGCGGGUGCUAACGUCCGUCGUGAAGAGGGAAACAACCCAGACCGCCAGCUAAGGUCCCAAAGUCAUGGUUAAGUGGGAAACGAUGUGGGAAGGCCCAGACAGCCAGGAUGUUGGCUUAGAAGCAGCCAUCAUUUAAAGAAAGCGUAAUAGCUCACUGGUCGAGUCGGCCUGCGCGGAAGAUGUAACGGGGCUAAACCAUGCACCGAAGCUGCGGCAGCGACACUGUGUGUUGUUGGGUAGGGGAGCGUUCUGUAAGCCUGUGAAGGUGUGCUGUGAGGCAUGCUGGAGGUAUCAGAAGUGCGAAUGCUGACAUAAGUAACGAUAAAGCGGGUGAAAAGCCCGCUCGCCGGAAGACCAAGGGUUCCUGUCCAACGUUAAUCGGGGCAGGGUGAGUCGACCCCUAAGGCGAGGCCGAAAGGCGUAGUCGAUGGGAAACAGGUUAAUAUUCCUGUACUUGGUGUUACUGCGAAGGGGGGACGGAGAAGGCUAUGUUGGCCGGGCGACGGUUGUCCCGGUUUAAGCGUGUAGGCUGGUUUUCCAGGCAAAUCCGGAAAAUCAAGGCUGAGGCGUGAUGACGAGGCACUACGGUGCUGAAGCAACAAAUGCCCUGCUUCCAGGAAAAGCCUCUAAGCAUCAGGUAACAUCAAAUCGUACCCCAAACCGACACAGGUGGUCAGGUAGAGAAUACCAAGGCGCUUGAGAGAACUCGGGUGAAGGAACUAGGCAAAAUGGUGCCGUAACUUCGGGAGAAGGCACGCUGAUAUGUAGGUGAAGUCCCUCGCGGAUGGAGCUGAAAUCAGUCGAAGAUACCAGCUGGCUGCAACUGUUUAUUAAAAACACAGCACUGUGCAAACACGAAAGUGGACGUAUACGGUGUGACGCCUGCCCGGUGCCGGAAGGUUAAUUGAUGGGGUCAGCGCAAGCGAAGCUCUUGAUCGAAGCCCCGGUAAACGGCGGCCGUAACUAUAACGGUCCUAAGGUAGCGAAAUUCCUUGUCGGGUAAGUUCCGACCUGCACGAAUGGCGUAAUGAUGGCCAGGCUGUCUCCACCCGAGACUCAGUGAAAUUGAACUCGCUGUGAAGAUGCAGUGUACCCGCGGCAAGACGGAAAGACCCCGUGAACCUUUACUAUAGCUUGACACUGAACAUUGAGCCUUGAUGUGUAGGAUAGGUGGGAGGCUUUGAAGUGUGGACGCCAGUCUGCAUGGAGCCGACCUUGAAAUACCACCCUUUAAUGUUUGAUGUUCUAACGUGGACCCGUGAUCCGGGUUGCGGACAGUGUCUGGUGGGUAGUUUGACUGGGGCGGUCUCCUCCUAAAGAGUAACGGAGGAGCACGAAGGUUGGCUAAUCCUGGUCGGACAUCAGGAGGUUAGUGCAAUGGCAUAAGCCAGCUUGACUGCGAGCGUGACGGCGCGAGCAGGUGCGAAAGCAGGUCAUAGUGAUCCGGUGGUUCUGAAUGGAAGGGCCAUCGCUCAACGGAUAAAAGGUACUCCGGGGAUAACAGGCUGAUACCGCCCAAGAGUUCAUAUCGACGGCGGUGUUUGGCACCUCGAUGUCGGCUCAUCACAUCCUGGGGCUGAAGUAGGUCCCAAGGGUAUGGCUGUUCGCCAUUUAAAGUGGUACGCGAGCUGGGUUUAGAACGUCGUGAGACAGUUCGGUCCCUAUCUGCCGUGGGCGCUGGAGAACUGAGGGGGGCUGCUCCUAGUACGAGAGGACCGGAGUGGACGCAUCACUGGUGUUCGGGUUGUCAUGCCAAUGGCACUGCCCGGUAGCUAAAUGCGGAAGAGAUAAGUGCUGAAAGCAUCUAAGCACGAAACUUGCCCCGAGAUGAGUUCUCCCUGACCCUUUAAGGGUCCUGAAGGAACGUUGAAGACGACGACGUUGAUAGGCCGGGUGUGUAAGCGCAGCGAUGCGUUGAGCUAACCGGUACUAAUGAACCGUGAGGCUUAACCUU